GCCAGCAGCCAGAUCACCCUGCAACUCACAACUGGCAACCCACUGAAGCUAAGCAGGUGUGAGCCUGGUCAGUACCUGGAUGGGAGUCCUCCUGGGAAAAACUAAAGUUGCUGCUGGAA
ensembl:rRNA 5S_rRNA 5S ribosomal RNA